rnacentral:rRNA from 1 species
UACGUAGGCAGCGAGCGUUGUUCGGAGUUACUGGGCGUAAAGGGCGCGUAGGCGGCCAACUAAGUCAGACGUGAAAUCCCUCGGCUCAACCGGGGAACUGCGUCUGAUACUGGAUGGCUUGAGUUCGGGAGAGGGAUGCGGAAUUCCAGGUGUAGCGGUGAAAUGCGUAGAUAUCUGGAGGAACACCGGUGGCGAAGGCGGCAUCCUGGACCGAGAUUGACGCUGAUGCGCGAAAGCCAGGGGAGCAAACAGG